AGCCCCACAUGUCCCCUUGAACAGGAGCUGAGUGGAUGCAUUCAGAAUUAUGCUGGAGGCUUAAAGUUCAGGAAAAGCAGUAGAAUAAUGAAAUGAGAGGAAAAGGAGAAAUUGACUAGUACUGGAACGGCUGAUGAGGUGUCUGCACAUGUGAUGGUCAACCACUGAGUUAUCUUCAGUGUAUGUAGAAAUAAUGUUAAAGUGUUAACUUUGACAAAAAUUUAAAACUAUCAUCGGACCAUGACCUGUCUCAUGCCCAGGUCUGAUGCCUUCCUUCCAGCACAGCUGAGGACAGGUCCCACUGACUCAGAGCAGAGCAACUAACUGGGACAGCUUUGGAAAUGGUGGGGGCCAUCCCAGGUGGCAGGAGCAGGCACAGCUCCCCCAGCCAGGCUGGCAGGGUGCCCGCCAGCACAGGGCCAUGCUGAAGGCUGAACACACGCCUCUCCAGCAGGCACAACCUCCAGCUUCCAACAAAGCAUUUGCUAGCACUUCUGAGCAAAGUUUUGGAAGGGAAACUUAAUUGUUGCAUCCAUCUACACUGGUGGAUGGCAGAAUUUUGGUGGUAUGAGGGGUUCUUGGGGUGGUGUCAUCCCUAAGGUGUGCACUUGCCACACACUCAGAUGCGCUGCCUGGUCCCUGUUACACCUGGAGCAGAAGGAUGCAGGCAAUGUGAUGCUUGGAAGGUGUUUGGCAGGAGGAAAACUGGCCCUGCUGAUGCUAACAGCUGCUUUUCAGCUCGUAGUAUGCCAGGAGAGCCCUGAGCUUAGGAGUGACACAGACGGAUUAGGGAACAGCAGGACGCUUCACUUAAAAGGAUAAAAUGGGCAUUUUGCAUUCACUGGCACUCACCUCCUGCUCACGCUGAAAUAUUACAACCCUGCCCCCCUUGUCCCCUGUUGCCAGUAACUCUCCAGUGUGGUUGAACUCAACAGUGGAGAUGAUGUCAGCUGGUAAAGAGAAGACAAAGACAGUUUCAGUAACUGCAGCCUGACUUCCACAGGCAUCCAGGAAGCUCCAUGCCCUGUACAGCGACGUGCCUUGUUGGUACCCUGUGGCACCUCCAUAAAUCCCUGUUUUUCUACCAUCUUUAACACUGAACGGGCUCAGCAUUAUGCUGUCAUGGCCCCCUGCCCUGGCCUGUGUCCCAGCUCUGGUUCCAGUGGAUUUCCAGGGUCCAUCUGCAGGAUUCUGGGCUCAGUGGCAGGAGAAGCCAGGGGACACACAGAGACCUAAGAAUGUCAGAGGUUAAUUCCACAGCAAUUACUGCCCAACUGGUGCUCACCCACUGCCUGGGGAGCCACUCUCCAGCAGCAUGAAGAAGCUGGGGAACUGGAAGAAUGACUGCAGCCCUGGAGCCUCAGCACUGGGCGCAGGACGGGCUCUGUGAUGAACACUUGGCCAUAUCAGCUGCCAGCUCAGCUCACUCCUGCCCUUCUCACGUCUGCAGCACCAGGGCUGGCAGGGCUGCAGCCCAGGGCUCAGGGCAGGGUGCUGGCCAUGGCUGCAAGCACUGGCUGUGCCCACAAGCCAUGGCACUGCCCGGGCUGUGGCCACUCAGAGCCCUCUGAGCAGUGCUCUGGUUCCUCCUGCAUGUUAGCUCUGGUGUGUGCCAGCAGAGAGAGCCUCAGAAACAUAUAACCUGAGCUGCCCCCUCUCCCUCCCCAGAGUUUUAUCCCAGAUACAGAGUAGAAAGCUACCUCAGCAAACGAGAAAAGACCAAAUGCAGCAACUGGCCCAAGCUCGUGGUGCAGCUCGGAACACCCCUGGGGUCUGUCCUCCAGGAUGCCAGCCCAGACAGCAUCCCCCAAACCCACACCCCCUGCUGCAGCACCACCCAGACAGGGCACCUGAGAGCCCCCUCACACACCCAUGGGCUUCCCCAAAACAACACCUCUGUGCCCCAGACAGCGUCCCAGCUGAGCAAGAAGCUUCUGUGUUUGGCACCAAGCCUGGCUAGCAGCUCCAGCUCAGCCCUGGCUCACACUGAGGUUUCACUGCUGCAGCAGGUGACCCCACCCUGGAGAGCAUCACUGUGAGCCAUGGGCUGAGCCUGGUGUCCCCAGGUGUCACACGGAUGACGCUGGGAGCAGGCUGGGAGCAGCUGCUCCAGCAGCAGCCAGGGGACUCAGGCUCUGGCUGGGCAGUGCUAACGUGCACCUCAUAAUGAGACAUGCUGCUUCCUUCUAAAAUUACUCAAUUGAAAACGUACCUGUUUUGCUCUAUUUAAUCCUCUCCAUUACCAGCUGCUGGUUUUAGGUCAUUCCCUUUUCAAUGAAUUAAAAAUAACUUUGUGCGCUGCAGUGAGGUGCUUUUCAGACAUGAUCUAAGGCACCAGCCUGAGAGCAGGGCUGUGGUCUGAGCCACCAGGGCCAGGCACCACAGACACCCUCGUGCCACCCCAGCCCAGCCCCCAUGUACACUGCACCCAUGGACAAGGGGGUUUCACAUCCACACAUCCCCCAGACCUGAGCUGUACUCAUGCCCAUCAUCAGGACUUCAGACAAGGAUACCAGUAGAGCCUGGAUAACUACACUUUCACAUUUAAAAAAAAUACCCUAAAUAUUAAAAAACCCUCUUGUGAGUAGAAGCAUCUAGCCCAAGCCCAAAUGCACCCCAGCUGACAGAAGCACCAUUCCCCCAGCACCCAUGGUCUGGGCACUGGCUCUUUCCCUGGUGUGUCUGGGCAGUAACAGCAGCCUGGCACAGAAGAACAUCCAGAGGGCAGCUGGGGGAGUCCCACAGAGGAACCAGCUCAGGAUCAGAGAGUGACACCAGCUCCUUUCCAAAGGUGUCUCUGAACCAGCCAGAGGUUGGUCACGGCUGCUGCACACCCCACCUGCACCCUCGAGAGACACGACAGGGUGGUUGCUAAUGAAAAUGCACAUGUACUCGUGUUGAGAUGAUCAAUAAUUUAUGCCCAUUUCUCCUAAGGUUCCUUCAGCAGUUUUGUGACAACAGAAAGGAAAAAACCUUGCCUCUUUUUUGCUUUUUCCUUUCCUUCAUCACCUCCUACACACCCAGUGCCCCAAUGCGGGAAUUUAAAGCAAACAGUUUCCAUGGAGACCCAGCCCGCCGUCCUCCCUCCCCUCCCAUCCUCCCUUCCCUCGGCAUCUCUGUGCCUUCAUGCUCUCAUGCUAAAAAUAUCCAAGAUGGGAUUUGAUUUCCGCCGUAGCGAUACAGUUUUAUCAGAAAAAUGGGAAAUUUACAACA